GACGAACGCUGGCGGCGCGCUUAACACAUGCAAGUCGAGCGAGAACCCAGGCUUCGGCCUGGGGGAAAGCGGCGAACGGGUGAGUAACACGUGGGUAAUCUGCCCUCGGCAUCGGGAUAGCCCGGGGAAACCCGGAUUAAUACCGGAUGGCCCGACAGCGCUUCGGAGCGGUCGGAAAAGGUAGCUUCGGCCUCCGGCCGAGGAGGAGCCCGCGGCGGACUAGCUUGUUGGUGAGGUAAUGGCUAACCAAGGCUCCGACCCGUAGCUGGUCCGAGAGGACGAUCAGCCACACUGGGACUGAGACACGGCCCAGACUCCUACGGGAGGCAGCAGUGGGGAAUCUGGCGCAAUGGGCGAAAGCCUGACGCAGCGACGCCGCGUGAGGGUAGAAGGCCUUCGGGUUGUAAACCUCUUUCAGGAGGGACGAAGCCACUCGGGUUAAUAGCCCAGAGGGUGACGGUACCUCCAGAAGAAGCCCCGGCUAACUACGUGCCAGCCGCCGCCGUAACAC
rnacentral:rRNA from 1 species